GACGAACGCUGGCGGCGUGCUUAACACGUGCAAGUCGAACGGAAAGGCCCUGCUUUUGUGGGGUGCUCGAGUGGCGAACGGGUGAGUAACACGUGAGUAACCUGCCCUUGACUUUGGGAUAACUUCAGGAAACUGGGGCUAAUACCGGAUAGGAUCUCCUGCUGCAUGGUGGGGGUUGGAAAGUUUCGGCGGUUGGGGAUGGACUCGCGGCUUAUCAGCUUGUUGGUGGGGUAGUGGCUUACCAAGGCUUUGACGGGUAGCCGGCCUGAGAGGGUGACCGGCCACAUUGGGACUGAGAUACGGCCCAGACUCCUACGGGAGGCAGCAGUGGGGAAUAUUGCACAAUGGGCGGAAGCCUGAUGCAGCAACGCCGCGUGCGGGAUGACGGCCUUCGGGUUGUAAACCGCUUUCGCCUGUGACGAAGCGUGAGUGACGGUAAUGGGUAAAGAAGCACCGGCUAACUACGUG
rnacentral:rRNA from 1 species